rnacentral:rRNA from 1 species
CCCUUAGAUGUUCUGGGCGGCCCGCGCACUACAUUGGCACUGGCAACAAGAUCCUAGAUCUGGUAUUUCGGGGUAUUCUACCAACUGGUGUCGUGACUGGGAUUAACCCCUGCAAUUAUUGGUUAUGAACGAGGAAUUCCUUGUAAUCACGGUUUAUCAACCCGUGUUGAAUGCGUCCCUGCCCUUUGUACACACCGCCCGUCGCUCCUACCGAUGAAUCGUCCGGUGAAGUUCAUGGAGUCGCGGCUGCUCCAGCUGUUUUCGAAGUGAAAUGGACCUCNUNAUUUAUNGGAAGGAGAANUCGUANCA